CCUACGGGAGGCGGCAGUGGGGAAUAUUGGACAAUGGGCGAAAGCCUGAUCCAGCAAUGCCGCGUGAGUGAUGAAGGCCUUAGGGUUGUAAAGCUCUUUUACCAGGGAUGAUAAUGACAGUACCUGGAGAAUAAGCUCCGGCUAACUCCGUGCCAGCAGCCGCGGUAAUACGGAGGGAGCUAGCGUUGUUCGGAAUUACUGGGCGUAAAGCGUGCGUAGGCGGCUAUUCAAGUCAGAGGUGAAAGCCCGGGGCUCAACCCCGGAACUGCCUUUGAAACUAGAUAGCUAGAAUCUUGGAGAGGUCAGUGGAAUUCCGAGUGUAGAGGUGAAAUUCGUAGAUAUUCGGAAGAACACCAGUGGCGAAGGCGACUGACUGGACAAGUAUUGACGCUGAUGUACGAAAGCGUGGGGAGCAAACAGGAUUAGAUACCCUGGUAGUCCACGCCGUAAACGANANAUACUANUGUCGGCGACUGUGCGUGGUGGCGCGNGCUACGACAUUAAGUUAUCCGUCCGUGGGUAGGUACGGUCGCGAGAAGUUAAACGUAACGUAAAGGUAAAGUUAGUUACGGCGUGAGACGUGCCGACGGCGACGACGAGGGAGGAGG
rnacentral:rRNA from 1 species